rnacentral:rRNA from 1 species
GCGAAGCGAAGCAGCGAUGUGAAGCAAAUCGCACCAAAGCCGGUCCCAGUUCGGAUAAGAGGCUGAAACUCGCCUCUUUGAAGUCGGAAUCGCUAGUAAUCGCAGAUCAGCAUGUUGCGGUGAAUACGUUUCCUGGUCUUGUACACACCGCCCGUCAAACCAUGAGAGUCGCCAACACCCGAAGUCCGCUUUGCGGCCUAAGGUGGGGGAGAUGAUUGGGGUUAAGUCGUAACAAGGUACC